GAUGAACGCUGGCGGCGUGCCUAAUACAUGCAAGUCGAGCGAACAGACGAGGAGCUUGCUCCUUUGACGUUAGCGGCGGACGGGUGAGUAACACGUGGAUAACCUACCUAUAAGACUGGGAUAACUUCGGGAAACCGGAGCUAAUACCGGAUAACAUGUUGAACCGCAUGGUUCAACAGUGAAAGACGGUCUUGCUGUCACUUAUAGAUGGAUCCGCGCCGCAUUAGCUAGUUGGUAAGGUAACGGCUUACCAAGGCAACGAUGCGUAGCCGACCUGAGAGGGUGAUCGGCCACAAUGGAACUGAGACACGGUCCAGACUCCUACGGGAGGCAGCAGUAGGGAAUCUUCCGCAAUGGGCGAAAGCCUGACGGAGCAACGCCGCGUGAGUGAAGAAGGUCUUCGGAUCGUAAAACUCUGUUAUUAGGGAAGAACAAAUGUGUAAGUAACUAUGCACGUCUUGACGGUACCUAAUCAGAAAGCCACGGCUAACUACGUG
rnacentral:rRNA from 1 species